rnacentral:rRNA from 1 species
UGAUAUCGAAUUUACAUGGAUAACCGUGGUAAUUCUAGAGCUAAUACAUGCUGGUAGGCCCGACUUUUGCGGAAGGGCGGUAUUUAUUAGAUAACAAGCCAAUAUUCCUCUGGUCUAUUGUGGUGACUCAUAAUAACUGAUCGAACCGCAAGGCCUUUGGCCGCGAUAAGUCAUUCAAGUUUCUGCCCCAUCAGCUUUCGAUGGUAGUGUAUUGGACUACCAUGGCGUUUACGGGUAACGGAGGAUUAGGGUUCGAUUCCGGAGAGGGAGCCUGAGAAACGGCUACCACAUCUAAGGAAGGCAGCAGGCGCGUAAAUUACCCAAUCCUGACUCAGGGAGGUAGUGACAAGAAAUAACGGACCGAGGCCUUCGGGCUUCGGGAUUGGAAUGAGCCGAAUUUACACCCCUUAGCGAAGAUCGAUUGGAGGGCAAGUCUGGUGCCAGCAGCCGCGGUAAUUCCAGCUCCAAUAGCGUAUAUUAAAGUUGUUGCAGUUAAAAAGCUCGUAGUUGGAUUUCUGGGAGGGUGCCGAUGUCCACUUGACGUGUGCGCAGCGGCGCCCUCUCAUCCUUCUGUUAGCGUCUCUUGGCAUUCAUUUGCUGGUGGCGGGCUCAGAUAUUUUACCUUGAGAAAAUUAGAGUGUUUCAGGCAGGCUAGGCCGGAAUACAUUAGCAUGGAAUAAUGGAAUAGGACUACGGUCUCUUUGUUGGUUUGAGGGACUGCAGUAAUGAUUAAUAGGGAUAGUUGGGGGCAUUAGUACUUAACUGUCAGAGGUGGAAUUCUCAGAUUUGUUAAAGACUGACUUAUGCGAAAGCAUUUGCCAAGGAUGUUUUCAUUAAUCAAGAACGAAAGUUAGGGGAUCAAAGACGAUCGGAUACCGUCCUAGUCUUAACCAUAAACUAUGCCGACUCGGGAUUGGGGGCGUGUUCUAUCCGCCUUCAGCACCGUAUGAGAAAUCAAAGUCUUUGGGUUCUGGGG